GGUUGAUCCUGCCAGUAGUCAUAUGCUUGUCUCAAAGAUUAAGCCAUGCAUGUCUGAGUGUAAGUAUUUCAUUGCGGGACUGCGAAUGGCUCAUUAACACAGUUAUUGUUUAUUUGAUUGUUCGUUUUACGUAUGGAUAACAGUAGUAAUUCUAGUGCUAAUACAUUUCAGUUUGCCCUUGUGGUAGAAAUUGUUAGUGUCUAAACCAAUGCGGUUAUCCGCUAAGUGACGAAUAAUAGCAAUUGUGCUAAUCGGCUUGCCGAUAUUUCAUUCAAGUUUCUGACCUAUCAG
rnacentral:rRNA from 1 species